GUGCUUUGGGGUGGGGUGACUGCGUACCUUUUGUAUAAUGGGUCAGCGACUUAUAUUCUGUAGCAAGGUUAACCGUAUAGGGGAGCCGAAGGGAAACCGAGUCUUAACUGGGCGUUAAGUUGCAGGGUAUAGACCCGAAACCCGGUGAUCUAGCCAUGGGCAGGUUGAAGGUUGGGUAACACUAACUGGAGGACCGAACCGACUAAUGUUGAAAAAUUAGCGGAUGACUUGUGGCUGGGGGUGAAAGGCCAAUCAAACCGGGAGAUAGCUGGUUCUCCCCGAAAGCUAUUUAGGUAGCGCCUCGUGAACUCAUCUUCGGGGGUAGAGCACUGUUUCGGCUAGGGGGUCAUCCCGACUUACCAACCCGAUGCAAACUGCGAAUACCGAAGAAUGUUAUCACGGGAGACACACGGCGGGUGCUAACGUCCGUCGUGAAGAGGGAAACAACCCAGACCGCCAGCUAAGGUCCCAAAGUCACAGUUAAGUGGGAAACGAUGUGGGAAGGCUCAGACAGCCAGGAUGUUGGCUUAGAAGCAGCCAUCAUUUAAAGAAAGCGUAAUAGCUCACUGGUCGAGUCGGCCUGCGCGGAAGAUGUAACGGGGCUAAACUGUGCACCGAAGCUGCGGCAGCGACGCUUAUGCGUUGUUGGGUAGGGGAGCGUUCUGUAAGCCUGCGAAGGUGUCCUGUGAGGGAUGCUGGAGGUAUCAGAAGUGCGAAUGCUGACAUAAGUAACGAUAAUGCGGGUGAAAAGCCCGCUCGCCGGAAGACCAAGGGUUCCUGUCCAACGUUAAUCGGGGCAGGGUGAGUCGACCCCUAAGGCGAGGCCGAAAGGCGUAGUCGAUGGGAAACGGGUUAAUAUUCCCGUACUUGGUGUUACUGCGAAGGGGGGACGGAGAAGGCUAUGUUGGCCGGGCGACGGUUGUCCCGGUUUAAGCGUGUAGGCUGGUUUUCCAGGCAAAUCCGGAAAAUCAAG
rnacentral:rRNA from 1 species